rnacentral:tRNA from 1 species
UGGACUGUGGCUCAGAGGUAGAGCACUUGCCUGGCAUGUGUGAGGCACUGGGUUCAAUUCUCAGCACCAA